CAGCAGCCGCGGGAAUACGUAGGUCCCGAGCGUUGUCCGGAUUUAUUGGGCGUAAAGCGAGCGCAGGCGGUUAGAUAAGUCUGAAGUUAAAGGCUGUGGCUUAACCAUAGUACGCUUUGGAAACUGUUUAACUUGAGUGCAGAAGGGGAGAGUGGAAUUCCAUGUGUAGCGGUGAAAUGCGUAGAUAUAUGGAGGAACACCGGUGGCGAAAGCGGCUCUCUGGUCUGCAACUGACGCUGAGGCUCGAAAGCGUGGGGAGCAAACAGGAUUAGAUACCCCCGUAGUCCCUGUCUCUUAUACC
rnacentral:rRNA from 1 species